rnacentral:tRNA from 1 species
GGGUAUAUAGCUGAGUGGUAGAGCGUGUGUUCAGCAUGCAUGAGGUCCUGGGUCCAAUCCCCAGUACCUCCA